rnacentral:lncRNA from 1 species
UUUAAUAUUAUAGUGAUUAAUAAAACAUUAUAUAAAUCCACAAUCAUAGUUUACUUUCUUUUUUUUUUAUCUGAAUAGCUUUCUUUUACUAAUGUGAUAUCAAACAUUUUGUAAUGAAGUAAACAAAACAUGAAAUAAUUGAAGUAUGGAUAAUUAUAAUAGGUGAUAAAUCGUUGAGUUGACCACGAGUUAACAAUAAAAGUGGUUUCGUUAAUUCCUACUUGUGCAAAUUUCAAACUCCUCAUAUUCGUUGGAGUCCAGUGAUGAAACAACAACAAAGGUGCAAGAUGUGAUCAACUUUGAUAGUUAAAAAACGUAUAAUUACCAUACUUCCUGGAGGAAGUCCAGAACAUUCAAACGUCUCGGAUGCUGCGGCAAUGUCUGUGAUUAGAUCUCUUAAUGAUAAAGAGCCUCGUAUAACUAUAGCAAUGCUAGAGGUCUUAUGAUCAGUUAUUACGCAAAAAGCUUACUUCACAUAAAUGGUUUUUAAAACUUGCGAAGAGGAUGUCGUCAUUUGAUAAUUUGGACAUAUAUCUUACUCCGGAUAAAUUGCAGAAACAACAAUUGUCAUCCAGGAUAACUUUCCGUUUUUUUCUAGCAAAAUACAAUUAUGUAAUGAUACUAGACCCGCAUAGAAAAUUUAAAUAUGUUAUAUUAUAAAACUUACCGGAAACAGCCGCAGAAAGUUAAGUUUGGUAUUAAACGGAAACAUCCGGUACACACAUGUUGAUAACAAACGAAAAGCCAACCGUAAGAUGCGAUCGAUAAUUUAAGAAAAUGAUGUGCAUUUUCCAAGGUCAUCCAACUGGGAGUGUUGAUGAAAAUAUCACGUGCAUCUAAAAUAAAAGUUUUUAAUAUGCUUUCAAUUUUUAUUAACACUUUAACGACCGCUCACACAACAUGUGUGUGAUGCUACCGCCGAAGGUUUUUGGCCAGUACCACACUCUUUGUGUGAUAAUUUAUAAAUGUAAACAAUUUUGGAUACUGCUAUUGGCUUCAUAUUUCAUUGGUACGUCUUUGAUUAUAGGUAAUUAUUGCCUAUUUUUUUUCUUUUUUUUUUCCGGCCCCUGAUGACGUUUAACUGCGUAGACGUGCGGUCGUUAAAGUGUUAAUGAGUUGUUAAUUCAUAGCAAACGAAUUCAAUCGGAUUCAUUUAUUUACCAACAGUAUAUUUCGGUUUAGAAAGAUUUAAUGUUCUCAAUUUGUGCGUUUCACGUUUUUGCCGAACUCGCAGUAGAAUUAAACCUGCCAUAACGUCGGAAGGUACCAAAUUUGUUCCUCGAAAUAGAGCAGUGAGUAAACCUGGGAAAAAUUAGAUUAUUUAUAAUGUAUGUAACGGUUCACUUAUGUUAAUUAUGUUUUUAUCUAUGUUAAUAAUACAAUUUUGAAUAUUAUUAAAUUUAUUUUUCCUAACAUCUUAUGCUAUUUACAAAAAAAGUCCUGCCAAUCGAGAAUUUAAAGAAGGAUGACGAUAAAAGUAUUUUUUGCAGAGUAACGAGUUUUUAAUCUAAAUUUGCCAUAAAAAGAAUAAGAUCGUCGUGAUUUCUCUAUGUAAAACUAAACGAGUAUUGAAGACUUUCCUGUCCUACUUCUCUUGCUGGCUUGUUAAAAUUUGUUUCUUUUAUUUAUUUUUUUUAUCCACUCAACGGAAAAUGAAAUCGCUAUGUAAAAGUGAAUAAGACGGUGAAUAUUGCUAUCCAAGUUUUAAUUAUAAAUGUGGCAGGACUUUUUAAAUCAGGCGUACCUAUGUCUCACCAGCAACAUGUUGGAAGGUUUCGUUGGCGCUUUCGUCUUUCCUCAUCCACCAAAGGAACUUGAAUCUUCGUCGCCAAAUUCGCGAUAUCUUUCCAUGCUCGAUUGAGUCGUCUAAAUUAUUGUUGUGCUUAUCCAUCGAGCCAAGAGGAUCGAAAACAAGAAUAAAACCGAAAAUUGUGAGGCCGAUGAGGAUCCAAUUGAAAAAUACCAUUGCCUUCACGACACUUAUCGUGUACUGUUCUAUCUCGCAUUCUAUAUUUUUGUUAAAGAUCCAAAGCGUUCCCAAUAUAUUCCAAUUUAUUUCCGGUAGAAUCAUAAGUAUUCUGCGAAUAUAUCAAAACAAUUAAACACAAAUAAAGCGAUUUUAUUGCGACAAUUCUUUCUAUUUCUUACCGCUCGUAAUUAGAUAAGCGAUUUAUGCGUAAGAAUCAUAAUAAGAAAAUAAUAAUUUUGUUGUUAUUUUAUUUUCUUUCUUUUGGUCAUACAGAAAUGUGAUAUCAUUAUAUCAUUUACUUACUUCACCGUGAGAAGCGGUUCAACGUAUCGGCGAGAGUGCGUAUCCGUUAUCGAUCCUCUACUGCUAUAUCUUAUAAUAAAAAAUGUAAGAAUCAUAA